UCCCUCUCUCUCUGCCUUCCAUGCUCCCUCUCUCUCUCAAAAUAAAUAAACUUAAAAAAAGGUUUUUUUUAAUAUGACACUAGCAUCAAAAAUAUUCAAGAUACACUGAGUUAUGAGGGACAAACAAGAUGUCUACUCUCAAAGCAUCUACUCAACACGCUCCUAGAAGUUCCAAGCCACGGUAACAGAAAAGAAAAGGCCGGAAGUUGUAUCCAGUUUGGAAAGGAAGAAAGUAAACUGUCUUGACUCACAGAAAACGUGAUCUGUGAGGAAAAUGCUACGGAAGAGCACACGACUGAAGUCCAG